UAACGCUAUUUUAGAGAAGGAGGU
rnacentral:siRNA from 1 species